GCUGGGCCCCCAGUGAAGCUGAAUUACUGGCUGGAGUGGCCAGAAUUCCUUGGUGCUGUUCUUCAGCUGCUCUCCUGUCGACCUGUGAACCCUCUGGGCACCUCUUGCUGGCACUGUCAUCCAUCUGGCAGAAGUGGGAUGGAUUGUGGUUCCUCUCCCCAGGUACCUAAGUUCAAAGCCCUCUGGAGCAGCUUGGCCAGCCUGUGACUGAAGAUGCUCUUCCCCUUCUCUGCCACAUGGACCCCACCAGCCCCCAGAGGACCAAGAUUCACCAAGUCAAGUCCCAUGGUCGAAGUAGUUGAACCCCUGGCACAUAUUCUGUGACCAUCUGUUGACUCACCAGCUGUCAUUACUUUCAGUGCACUGUGACCAACUUUGCAGCAAUACAGGCCCUUUGAACUCCAUGUGGACUGGAGCUGGACACGUGCAGAUGUUGGGAAGAGGGUGGGGAGUGAGGGGACUUUAAACACUGAAGUGAUGGAGCCCAAAAUAAACCCCACGGUUCUAACUCUCUCAAA